GCUGCAUACACAAUUAGAACUUUACUAAUUAUUCAUACCAAAUAUAUAAAAAGUCAAACAUACAAGGUUAAUUUAGGGACAAAGGGUUGCCAAGAAAGUACCACCUACUCUUUCACUGGGACAUUUAAACAGUGAUAAGAAGGAACAUGUAAUUUUGUUUUUGACAUUUUAAGUAUGAAAACUUAAGAGUAAUGAAAGGUCCUACUUUCUGUUACGAACCUUGCCUCCCUGAGCUCUAGGACCUGGAUUUUUUUCCCCGAAUAUGUCACCCCAUUGGUAGCUAACAUUUAUUGAGUAGUGAACAGGAUGCCUUAAUUUCUCUCCAUUUUCAUUUUACAAGUGAAUGCGUGGAACCCCAGCAGGUUUCCUAUUCCCGCCCAACUGCAGCAAGCCAGCAAAUUUCUUAAACCUAAGAUUCUUUGUGAAGAGAUGUGUUUUGCAGCUUUCCAAGCCUCUGUCUUCCAGGCCAGAACACUUGUCUCCCAGAUUGGCAAGAGAGGUUCAGGGAGUGCUACGGCCAGGUAAUUUCCUGUAAUUUUUUUAAACCGGCUUUUCAAUGGAAAUGGCACUGGGGCUGCUGUCCUGCUUAUGAAAAGGAAGCCCAAGUGUGACAGCUUGCUCACAGAGAAGCCGGCAUUUCUCUGAGGUACUGUUCUAGCUUCUGGGAAGACAGCUGCAAACGAACCAGGAGAAGUACCCACCCUAUACAGCUAACCCCAGGUAGAGGGCAAGGAUCCCUGCAUCUUGGAGAGGAUAGGAUUUUGACUCUGAUCCCCGAGGCUGAUUGAUUUUAUGAGCCAAAAUAUUAUUCCUCUUGGCCUGCGAUUGGUGUACAAGUGGCACGUGGCUUGUCUAAGAAUGAAGUCCACGAGCAUGGGGAAUCGUUGCUGAGCUCACUGCGUAUGGAUCAAGUAAUUGGCAGAGCUGUGCCCAGCGAAUACUUGCCGGAUGAGUGAAUGAGUGAAGUCAUGGUGGACCAGAUCCCUCUAACUAAGCUUUCCCCAGCGUGUGGGUGGACCAGCAGGAAAGACAGCAAAUCAGCAGUUUGCACAUUUAGAUGCUUGGAUGGUUUGUCAAGAAAAUGCACAGAAUCAUAGUUUUUUUUAAAAAGUUCAUCUUUUACAGCAGAAAGUUUUGCAGUACAAGCAAGGAUCUUAAGAACCCAGAAACAGGAAGCAGAUUUAAGUAUUUACUGACCACGGAGUGGUCUUUUCUGUAUUAAAGCUAAUCUCGCGUGUUGACGAUGUGCAGAACUGACAGCAGAUUCCGCUGAGGCUUUAUGUCUAGAACGGACUCCAGAGCUCGAAGCCCUCCGUGGAGUUACUCAAGCCUCAAGUUUUCAUGGUCUCCUGUCAGGUUUCCGAGGAAGGGCUCCUGGGGUGAAAGGCUCUCUGUGCUUCUGCCUGCCUUGGCCCCUGCUCUCACUCUGCCCAUUUCACUGGUGGCCGCAUGCUGGGUGUGCAGAUGUCAGUGGGCUGCCCUUGUCAUCUCGGGCUCACUGACAGGUGCUGACCCCUUCUCCACGGUGAACAUGCCCGGCCUGAGGUGGCCGCUGUCCCCACCAUGCCUAAGUAAGGCCUUCUCUCUCUAGUGUCCCUUUGCUCAGUUGCAACGGAGCGGGGUAGGGCUGCUCAGAGUGACUUGAGCCUUCAUGGGCAUUGCUUUCUGCUUUGCACUGAGUCCCAGGGAUGAGAGCUCAUUGUCUGUCUCUUCCUCUUCCUGUUUCUUUUUCCCGCCCUCCCCCCACACCUGAAAGGCUAGCUGAUUGCAUCUUAUAAUUUUGCUUCCAUGGUUCUCCUACCUUGCCCUGCAAGCAGGACAGACAGGUCUGCAUGUAUUUGGACAGCAGUAAACAGGAUUAAAAUUCCUUUCCACUCAACUUCUGGGUCCUAUGAGAAUUUGUGAAUCCAGGAGGUUUGUGUGGGUAGAGGGCCAGGGAAAACAAGGCCACUCCUGCUUCAGCGUAUCAUGCAAGAGAGGCGCCCUGACCCGGGCUGGCAGCUUGCCUUUGGCUCCGUUUGUUCUCUGAGGUUUGACAACUCACCUCUCUUCUCUGGAAAGCAGUUCCUUCAUUUGUGAAGUGAGCAUAAUGGCAAUAUCUAAAUGAUUAAUAUACUAAGAGCAUGUGGAUCACUCAGAGCUCAAAGAAGUCCUCAGAAGCUAACAUAUGUAAUCAUUGUUAUCAUGCUUUUAUCUUACCCUUCACCCAUUUUCAUGAUUAUCCCUGUCAUCAUCAUUGUGACCAUCACCACCCUCCUCCUCACCACCAUCAUCAUCAUCAUCAUCAUCAUCAUUGUCUCCUCGAACCUAAAUGAAAUGUCUCUAAACUCUAGAUUUCUACCCAGACUCAAUUAUUUUAUUGUCCCAACACAGUAUGGAGUAUCCUCUGGGGGAGAAAAUGUCAACUUCCUAAGACACAAUUGUUAAUUUAUUAAGAAUAUUAAAAAUUAGAGUGACAGAGUUGCUUAUUGCAGUUCAUGCCUCCAAUAAAUGAGACUGAGUUACCUUUUCUUAGAAAGGUAGUGUCUAGAAAAAUGCUUAAAUUUCAACUAGGAAAUGCAGUGUGCGUAAUUAGAAUCUCGGAGACUGUAUUAUAAAAUUCCUGUCCAGAAAAGAAACAUCUUCAACAUUUUUUCUCUUCUCCAUUUGCUAUCUAAAGGCUUUGUCCUUUAAGUCCAGAUGCUGAAGGGGAAAAGAGAUCAUUUCUAGGCACAAUAACUCAAAAUUAAAAUGCUACAUAUUGUCUAGGAAUUGUAUGGGAUUUUAAAAAAUCUCUCUGUUCCUACAUGGGAGAGAUAUGUGUAGUGAUGUUGGCGACAUUCAUAAAGCUGUAGACAGAGCAUUUGGAAGCUGGCCUUGGUGAGAAAUAUUGGAAAAGGAUGCAAUCUGCCAAAAUGAUACUCUGAGGAACUGAAAAUCAAUAAAUUGAAAUAGAGAAAAGUGGACGUAAAUUUGGAACCCAAAGUUUGAGAUCCAUCACUUCCGAGACAGAGCAGUGUGAAACAGACAAGAAUUUUUCUUUGUGAUACUUUAAUACUUUAGCACAAUUAUUCUUGGUAGACAUUCGGGGCUCUUGUUUUUCAUAUUUGUGUGUGUGUGUGUUUGCUUUUUUAUAAAUAUAGUUUCUCAUUCUUAAGAGGUAGAGAGAUUAAGUUUUUGAGUUAACUUUUUGUUUUGAAAUGAUUUUAAAUUUACAGAAAAGGAGUCUAACAAUAUAGUUAUCUGUGACAGCCCUUUAUCUUCAUCUGCUUUCUGCUUCUGUAAUAGAAUACCUGCUGCUUGAUAGCUUAUAGAGGCUGGAGACUUGUGUAGCUUACUUUUCUAGAGGCUGGAAGUCCAGGGUUAGCUGGCUGCAUCUGACAAGGGCCAUAUGCUCAUCGUGCCAUGCAACCAAACUGAAAAUCACAUUCAAGAUGCAGUUUUGCUUUAUGACAACCUGCUCUCGCAGUAACUGGUCUAGUGGCCUUAUACAGGCAUUAAUCCCACCUAAUGACCUCAUCACCUCUGAAAACUCCAUUUUCUAACAUUGCUGCAGUAGCAAUCAAAUUUCCACAUGAGUUUAGAGGGAACAAACAGCAUCCAAACCAUAACUCCCGCAGUGAGGUUCCCAAAUGAUUGGCACUUUAGACUGUGUGUAUUGUAUUGCCAUUCAGUUCAUGUUUUUCAUAUAUAUACAAACAAGUAUGCACACAUAUAUGUAGUAAUAUGUGUAUGUAUACUUAUAACAUGUUACCGUAAUAUACAUAAUAUGCACACAUACAAUAUACAUAAUACUAUGGAUUUUUCCUGACACAUUAGAGAUCUUAUUAUCUUUUUUUUUUUUUUGUCUUUUUCAUUUUUAUCGGUACUAGGGAUCGAACUCACGACUGCCUGCUUACAAAGCAGGCGCUCAUGCCGCUGAGCUAAAUCCCCAGCCCCGAGAUCUUAUUAUCUCUUAAUUCUUCAAUGUACAGUUUAUGUAGUGGAGCAAGGACAUUGUCUUACAUAUUUACACUCAAAUUGUUAAAACUGAGGAGUUAGCAAUUAAAACAUUACCAGUUAAUCCACGUUUAAAUUCUAUUCAAAUUUUGCUAGUGGUCCUAAUGUAAUAUCUUCCAGGAAGUCCAGGAUUCAAUCCAAGGUCCAAUGACCCAAAACAAGAUCACACGUUACAUUUAGCAGUUCUGUUUCCUCAGUCUUCUUCAGCAUGGAACAGUUCCCUAGACAUUUCUUGUCUUUAUAGCCUUGGCAUUUUUAAAACUAUUUUGUAGAAUGUCCUCAAAUAGAGGUUCAUCUCAUCUUUUCUUCAGAUUUUUGCACUUUUGGCAGAAGUACCCGGAAGUGAUGUUGUGUUCUUUUCAGUGUAUCAUUUCUGUAGGCACAUGAUGUCAAAAUGUUUCAUGCUUGAUGCUAUUUAAUUUUUAUCACUUAGUUUUGAUAUUUUGCAAGUUUCUUCAUUGUAAGGUUACUUAAUGGGUGUUUUGUUCCUAUUAAAAUUUAAACAAUUUAUGAGGAACACUUUGAGACUAUUAUAUAUUAUUCCUCUUCGUGCUUUUACCUACAAAUUUUAUCACCUUUGAUGACUUUAGCUAUAUAUACAAAUACUGACUCAGAAUCCUGUUUUAGACAGUGGGUUAUAAUUUGUUGUUAUUAUUGUUAUUACUUAUACUAUUGUUCUAUAGUUUGAUGACCGGAAUAUCCCAGGCUUUGCCAAUAAAAGCCCCAUCAUGCUGGGCUCUUCCUGACCUGUCUUGAUUUCUCAAACAUUUGCUUACUUUCUUGUACAAGGCAUUCUAGGCUAAUCUAUUUCCUUGCCCACUCAGAGUUUAGUCCCUAGGUUUCCUUUAGUGCAGAAUGCGACUUUGAAUUCAAGGCCUGAAUAGCUUGAUACUUGUUGAUAUCGUAGUGUUGUCACAUCAAGACCCUUUGUGCAAACAGAAUCGGGAAAUACACCCGGAUGGAUGUACCCGACCUGCGACUCCAUCCGUUUGUGUUUAAUUAGGUUUAAAACUCAUGGCUCUGCACUACUAACCCCAAUCCCAAUUCAGUACUACAAGGUAACUACUACCAUUUGCCCUUUCCCUUUGUAACUCUUUCUCCAAAAGUGAGAAAAUUACUUCCUAAUAUUUCUUUAUUAAUUGAGCUGUUCAUUUGCUCAACAUAAACAGCAUCCUGACUUUACAGGUCUUUUCUCCUAUCUAAUGAUGCUAACCACCCUGGCAUCCCUCAGUGUGCCAGCUGAUGGUUCAGUUCGAAUCUUGGGGUGUGGGAUGGGGAGAGAGACUCUUUGCACAACUGUUGUUCAUGAUGUUUGUAAUGGAUUGUGUCAACUCCAGUAGUUUAAAAACUUAACUAACUUGACUCAGCAAUUCUGGGGUGUAGGGGAACCACCCUGGCCCAGCUCCCCUGGAUGGUAGAACCAGGAAAUGAGGAAGGAUGGACUCACUUCUGUUCUUCAGAGGAGCUCCAGACUUCGCCUUCACCUCUCCUUUCCUCCAGUCCAGACUCUUCCGGUUCUAUAUCAGAUCCUUCAGCCUUCUGGGACACUCUUCAGCCUCCCCUCGCAGACCUGUCAGCCUCCUGACAUGGACGUGCAUAGACACUGCAGUGAGCUCCAGACCUUGGACUAAGACCUUCAGUCUCCAGUGUGCGACACCGUCUGCAAGCUUCCUCAUCCAGCUCUGGCUGACCAUCAUAAGCCAAUCUUGUAAUUUCUUAUCCAUUUGAAUAUCUCAUGCUAUGUCUGUUUCUUUAGUAAACCCUGACUGAUACAGUGAUUGAAAAUUUUGAUUUCAUAAAAUCUGUCCUUUCUUUCAUAUUGUUAUUGUAUUAUAAGGUAGAUCUAUCUAUUUCUCCAUCCUUUUUACCUACCAUCUGUACAAAUAAUGACUCAGAAUCCUGUUUUUAGUCAAUAGGUUAUAAUUUAUUAUUAAUAUUGCAUAUUUUGGUGACUGAACUACCAUCAAAUGUUACAACAUCGUGUAGAAAUGGCAUAGUGAAAUAAAAGACUGAAAUUCUGUUUAAAAUGUUCUGUCACUUGAGAUAGCCAUGUGAGACCACACAUUUCACCUGACUUAUGCUAAGCACAAUUCUCCCGUUAAUAAAGAGUAUCAUACGA